UACAGAGGUGGCAAGCGUUGUUCGGAAUUACUGGGCGUAAAGGGCGCGUAGGCGGUCUUGCAAGUCCCGUGUGAAAUCCCUCGGCUCAACUGAGGAACUGCACGGGAAACUGCUUGGCUUGAGUUCGGGAGAGGGAAGCGGAAUUCCGGGUGUAGCGGUGAAAUACGUAGAUAUCCGGAGGAACACCGGUGGCGAAGGCGGCUUCCUGGACCGACACUGACGCUGAGGCGCGAAAGCUAGGGGAGCAAACGGG
rnacentral:rRNA from 1 species